CAGCCCACUCUCAGGACAUCCAGAGCAUUCACCUUUCCUCUUAGUGAAGGACAAGGUGCUGCACUUCUGCAAGGUGCUCUCCCCUCACAGGCAUGCACUGCACCAUCUUCUCCAGCAAAGGCAUGUGUCAGGAGCAGUCUGCUUUAUAAUCCACCAUUUCAAGGCAAUUUAAUAUUCAAUCUGUAUUUUGAAGAAGCAGGAGAAAUUCAGAAUGAGGAUUCAGAAUAAAAGAUUA